rnacentral:rRNA from 1 species
UACGUAGGGUGCGAGCGUUGUCCGGAAUUAUUGGGCGUAAAGGGCUCGUAGGCGGUCUGUUGCGUCGGGAGUGAAAAACUCAGGGCUUAACCCUGAGCCUGCUUCCGAUACGGGCAGACUAGAGGUAUGCAGGGGGAGAACGGAAUUCCUGGUGUAGCGGUGAAAUGCGCAGAUAUCAGGAGGAACACCGGUGGCGAAGGCGGGUCUCUGGGCAGUAACUGACGCUGAGGAGCGAAAGCGUGGGGAGCGAACAGG